AGUGAACGCUGGCGGUAGGCCUAACACAUGCAAGUCGAACGGCAGCACAGGAGAGCUUGCUCUCUGGGUGGCGAGUGGCGGACGGGUGAGGAAUACAUCGGAAUCUACUCUGUCGUGGGGGAUAACGUAGGGAAACUUACGCUAAUACCGCAUACGACCUACGGGUGAAAGCAGGGGACCUUCGGGCCUUGCGCGAUUGAAUGAGCCGAUGUCGGAUUAGCUAGUUGGCGGGGUAAAGGCCCACCAAGGCGACGAUCCGUAGCUGGUCUGAGGGGAUGAUCAGCCACACUGGAACUGAGACACGGUCCAGACUCCUACGGGAGGCAGCAGUGGGGAAUAUUGGACAAUUGGCGCAAGCCUGAUCCAGCCAUACCGCGUGGGUGAAGAAGGCCUUCGGGUUGUAAAGCCCUUUUGUUGGGAAAGAAAUCCAGCUGGCUAAUACCCGGUCGGGAUGACGGUACCCAAAGAAUAAGCACCGGCUAACUUCGUGCCAGCAGCCGCCGUAA
rnacentral:rRNA from 1 species